AUCUAUAAAUAGUCGCCAAAUUUAUUGAAAUGAAUCUUCGGAAUAAUAAUAUUUAAAGCAAAAAAAAACAAAAUGAGAAACAAAAUUCCUUCCGUGUAUCUAGCAACAUAAUCCACAUUGAAGCUUUGAAGCUUUUCUUCAAUGUACACUAGUGCUGCCACCUAGAAGUGAAACAGCUCGAAUUUAAUCAUUUCGGCAAGAUUAGAUUUUCAAAUUAUACAGUGCAUAAAUGGUUGCAUAUCAAAGGGCAAAUUGACCAAACCGUAGUUAAUUUUCUUACUGCGCAAUUUUCCAUUCCCGUGGAAAAUUCCGACCUUUUUCCGAUUUCCAAUCAAAAGAAGGCUUAAAAAAAAUUGUACAGCUUGCAGAGGAAAUUGCGUCUUAGUUAUUAGGUAUCAACCAAUUUGUAUCGCGAGCGCCGUUUCAUUUCAAGUGGAGUGCUCGAAUCGAUAAGUCGAUUAAGUUGUCGGAGUAAAAAUAUUCAGUCUAGAUCGUUUGAAAUUCAAACUGAAAUCGAAGUUUUUUGUGAGUUUUUGAAAUUUUUGAAAAUAAGUUGUAUCUCAACCACGUGUGAAUAGAAGUGGAUUAGUUCAGGCUUAGCCCAUCCAACGAGGGCAGCUUGUCCGGAUUUGGGCCACAUUUCCGAGGACGAGUUGGACAUCCUGCUGGCCUUUCCUACUAGUGCCAGUGCCAUUCAAGAUCCAAGCCAGAACAGUCCACGUGGGUUGAGCAGAUUACUCUCGACUCUGAGGGUAGACGGGCCACCGUCCGUGCGUAUUUUGGCGAGUUGAGCGGAGACACGAAUACACCGUAGGAAGUCGGUGUCAGCUUCGCAUCGGGCGUGCAAGACUGCUCGAUUCUGAACCCGUUUCGACCAGUGGGACGAUUCCGAGCCUCAAACACGUGCUCUUUACUCCACUUCUGACAGGGACGCAUCUACCCUGUAAGUAUCGUCACCCACGGGUCAAUGUAGUGUCCCGUCAACCACGGUCGAAGGUGGAAUUGCCCCUCGAGGACGACCAAGCUACGGAGUACAGCUACUCGAAUCUAGUUGCCCGCCAAGGUGGACCCGCUGUAAGUAGCCAUCGUAGGACAGCGUGGGAGCCUCAACGCUUCGACAAAAGGUCAGAUUAAGCUAGUUUGCUGUUCCUAAAAAUAAAGAAGAACACUGUAAUUAUUCUGCACAAACCACUCAAACCAAGCUAGUCGUGACG